rnacentral:rRNA from 1 species
GACGAACGCUGGCGGCGUGCUUAACACAUGCAAGUCGAACGAAAAGAGGGAAAGAGCUUGCUCUUUCCGUAAUUGAGUGGCAAACGGGUGAGUAACACGUAAACAACCUGCCUUCAGGAUGGGGACAACAGACGGAAACGACUGCUAAUACCGAAUAAGUUCCAAGGGCCGCAUGGCCCAUGGAAGAAAAGGUGGCCUCUACCUGUAAGCUAUCGCCUGAAGAGGGGUUUGCGUCUGAUUAGCUGGUUGGAGGGGUAACGGCCCACCAAGGCGACGAUCAGUAGCCGGUCUGAGAGGAUGAACGGCCACACUGGAAUUGAGACACGGUCCAGACUCCUACGGGAGGCAGCAGUGGGGAAUCUUCCGCAAUGGGCGAAAGCCUGACGGAGCAACGCCGCGUGAGUGAUGACGGCCUUCGGGUUGUAAAACUCUGUGAUCCGGGACGAAAAGGCAGAGUGCGAAGAACAAACUGCAUUGACGGUACCGGAAAAGCAAGCCACGGCUAACUACGUG